rnacentral:lncRNA from 1 species
AUGACCCAUAACAAUGGAAAAGAUACAAAAACAAAUGUAAAUACCGGUUGCGAUUUAGAAAAAUUAAAUUUCCAUUUAUUUCAAGAAAAUAAUAAAAAAAAUAAUAAAGAGAGUAAUAAAGAGAGUAAUAAAGAGAGUAAUAAAGAGAAUUAUAAAAAUAAAUUCGAAGAAAACAAAAUAAUAUCAUUUUUUAUUUAUUUUGAUAUUAUUAAAAAUUUACCUGAAAGAUAUUUUUACCUAAUUAAAGAUACAAAUUUUAUGAUGGAUAUUCACAAUGUGUUUAACUUUUUUAUUUAUAUAAAUAAGGAAUAUAAUAUUUUAGAAAAAAAAUAUGAAAAAUAUAAAUAUACGAAAAUUUUUAAUAAAAUUAAAGAAAAAAAAGAUUAUUAUUAUUAUAAUAAAGCUAAAAUAUAUUUUCCCAUAAUUAUAUCAGCUUUAACAUCUUCAACUUUAUAUUUUAUUCUAAAUAAAACAACCAUCUCAAUACAACAUUCAUUAAUUACGCAAUUUUAUAUUGAUUUUUUUAGUAAUAAAUAUUUAUAUACCCUAUGUAAUAACUAUAUUUAUAUACAAAUUUUAUGUGAAUCUUUAGUAGUGUUAUUGUACUUGAGCAAAUCAAAACAAGACACUACACAUAUACAAAAUGGAACUACCCACAUAAAAGGCGACACUACACACAUACAAGACGACACUAUACACAUACAAGAUAAUUACAAACAAGAGUUUAUAAAAAAUGAAUUAGAUAUACAAACAGUAAAACAACAGAAAGGUGAACAUAUGUUAAUACAAUCUUAUCAAGGAAUAAAACAAGAAUCUACAAAUCCAUUAGUUUGUAUGAAAAUAGAAAAUGAGUAUUUAAAUAGUACCAAUGAUAACAUUACUAAUGUCAGUGCAAACCAUGAUACAACAAAAAAUGUUGCUGCAACAAAUUUAAUACAUCUAUAUAAAUUAUAUACCAUUUUUUUAGAAGAAUAUUUAUAUAAUUUUAUUUCUUCAAUUAUAACACUAAUUAAAAAUAAUAGUUUAUUAUUAAACGAAUCAAGUUUUUGUAAUUUUUAUAAAACUAUAUGUAAUGAAUUAAACAAUAAAAUAAAACAAAAUAAUACAUCACAUUUUAAUACAUUAAUACUUUCAAUUCUUAAUUAUUAUGAUUCUUACAAUACAAAUACCAACUCGUUUAAAAAAUAUAAAGUAGAUAACAGAAUAAUAGAAAUAUGUGAUAUAAAAAACAAUAUUAAAAUGUUACAGAGAGUAAGAUAUAAUUUUUUAAAUACAUUUUAUCAGAAUACUCUUUCUUGCGAAUUAUAUUCAAAAGCUUAUUUAAAAAAUAUUAUUUCUGUUUUUUUUUCAAAACAACAUUAA